rnacentral:tRNA from 1 species
CCUUCGAUAGCUCAGUUGGUAGAGCGGAGGACUGUAGUGGAAUUACCAGGUAUCCUUAGGUCGCUGGUUCAAAUCCGGCUCGAAGGA